rnacentral:rRNA from 1 species
UACAGAGGGGGCAAGCGUUAUUCGGAAUUAUUGGGCGUAAAGGGCGCGUAGGCGGCUUUUCAAGUGGCGGGUGAAAUCCCUCGGCUUAACCGAGGAACUGCCUGCCAGACUGGAAGGCUUGAGACCGGGAGAGGUGAGUGGAAUUCCGGGUGUAGCGGUGGAAUGCGUAGAGAUCCGGAAGAACACCGGAGGCGAAGACGGCUUGCUGGACCUGGUCUGACGCUGAGGCGCGAAAGCGUGGGGAGCGAACAGG